GUCUAUGGCCAUUCCACCCUGAACAAGCCUGAUCCCGUCUGAUCUCGGAAGCUAAGCAGGGUUGGGCCUGGUUAGUACUUAGAUGGGAGACCACCUAGGAAGACCAACUGCUGUUAAGA
rnacentral:rRNA from 1 species